rnacentral:rRNA from 1 species
AGUAAAAGUCGUAACAAGGUUUCCGUAGGUGAACCUGCGGAAGGAUCAUUAACGAGUUGAACGGGGUUGUAGCUGGCCUUCACGGGCAUGUGCACACCUCACUCAUCCACUCUACACCUGUGCACUUACUGUGGGUUUCGAGAGGCCGCGCUUGCGUGGUUGAUCGGGCUCACGUCUAUUACAAACUCUUCAGUAUCAGAAUGUGUAUCGCGAUGUAACGCAUCUAUAUACAACUUUCAGCAACGGAUCUCUUGGCUCUCGCAUCGAUGAAGAACGCAGCGAAAUGCGAUAAGUAAUGUGAAUUGCAGAAUUCAGUGAAUCAUCGAAUCUUUGAACGCACCUUGCGCUCCUUGGUAUUCCGAGGAGCAUGCCUGUUUGAGUGUCGUGUAAUUCUCAACCUAUAAAUCCUUGUGGUUUUUAGGCUUGGACUUGGAGGCUUUUGCUGGCUUUACCGUCGGCUCCUCUUAAACGCAUUAGCUUGAUUCCUUGCGGAUCGGCUCUCAGUGUGAUAAUUAUCUGCGCUGUGACCGUGAAGCGUUUGGCGAGCUUCUAACCGUCUCUUCGAGACAAACACUUUGACAUCUGACCUCAAAUCAGGUAGGACUACCCGCU